CCUACGGGGGGCUGCAGUGGGGAAUAUUGGACAAUGGGCGCAAGCCUGAUCCAGCCAUGCCGCGUGAGUGACGAAGGUCUUCGGAUUGUAAAGCUCUUUUGCCAGGGACGAUAAUGACGGUACCUGGAGAAUAAGCCCCGGCUAACUUCGUGCCAGCAGCCGCGGUAAUACGACGGGGGCUAGCGUUGUUCGGAAUUACUGGGCGUAAAGCGCACGUAGGCGGAUUUGUUAGUCAGGGGUGAAAUCCCGGGGCUGAAACUCGGAACUGCCUUUGAUACUGCGAAUCUCGAGUCGGGAAGAGGUGAGUGGAAUUCCUAAUGUAGAGGUGAAAUUCGUAGAUAUUAGGAAGAACACCAGUGGCGAAGGCGGCUCACUGGUCCGGUACUGACGCUGAGGUGCGAAAGCGUGGGGAGCAAACAGGAUUAGAUACCCGAGUAGUC
rnacentral:rRNA from 1 species